GGGGGUGGGGGGAAUCCCCGUUUGCUCAUUUUUAAUUGCGUCAGACUUCUAUUCCAUCUCCUGUUUAAUCUUCAGCAGCAGAGAUCUUUCCAAUCAUCGUCUGCUCUUUGCAUCGGACUUCUAUUGGAUCUUUAGCAUCUGUUCUUUUCUUUUAAUCUUGGUGACUGGAUUGGUUUUGGGUAGACGGAGAAGUUGGGGCCAGCAACGAGAGGAGGCGACAGUAAAAGAAAGAGAGAGAAGAGAACAGGGAAAGAAGAAAGAAGAAGAAGACGGGAAGCUGUGUGUGUUUUCUUUGAUCGAUUGUGUGCGCCGGAAUUUUUGUAUCGUUUCACUGCCAUUGUUCUUCUGUCUGUUGAUUAACAUUAUCUUCAUCUCUUAUUGUUAUUCAGACACUGGGAACAGUGUGCUAUCAGCUUCUGUUACUGUGGAUUCAGUUGUUGUUCCAAAGAUGAGGUGGAUAAGACUUAAGAGAUUGUUACAGGAUUGUCAUGGUGAAAAUCAUAAUAGUCAGAGAGAAGUGCAAGAAACAUCUAAUAACCAGUAUUUAAGUGGUGGUAUAGUUGAAGCUGGAACUGUGAUACUUGAAGCGUCCGACUUGGGAAUGAGAAAAAACAAUCAACGUUCACAGAAUCAGUCUACUGCUGCGAAUGAUGAUGUCAAUCGAUUUCAGCAUCGUCGCAAACGGCUUAGAAGUAGUCAUCGUCUCACAACUUCAAAUUGGACUUCUUCUGGAACCUUGCAUUCUUUAGAGACAGACAGUUCUUUCCAACUUCCAAGAACCAAAUGUGAAUGAAUAGUGACAAAAUGAAUGUCAUUUUGUGUCUCGACCAUUCUACCCCUCUCUUGCCUGGUCUUUUACGAAACUGUCCUUCCAAUUUCCGUUCGAUAUCUGUGGCAUAUACCAAUUUGCUUGAAGAAAAAGAAGAAAUAGACAUUGCAGGCUGGUUUUGGUUUGAGUGGGGAUCCUAUCAUUACAACUCAUGCAAGCAAGUUGAUGCUGUUGAAAUCAAUUGCACACCAUCUAGAAUAUUACAUACUUGCAAGUACCAGAAGCUGCAGUUUGUCUCCUUCCUCAUCAAAAGUGAAGUUGAAGGCAUAUACUGAUCGAACUUCAUGAAAAAGAACGAGUGGAACAUAUAUUCCAUCCUGGUUCGAAUGAGACAUUGCUUUUGACAGUGCAAGACAACGGGAAACAACUUCUUCAAAUCCAAGGAAUGUUAGAACAAAAGAUGUAGCAAUGAGAAACAAUUCAAGCAGCUAAUGUGAGGCUGGCAGGGAAAGGUGGAGAGUUGUCACAUCAUGAAACUACCACUAUUGGUGGUGCUUUGGAUUUGACGCGGAAAACUGCUGAAGAUGUUUUGACUCCAAUAUCAGAAAAUUUUACCCUUCAUAAACUCCAAACUUCACAUGAAACACUGGAUUUAAUAAUGAGCAGAGGUCACAGCCGUAUACCAAUCUAUUCAGGAAAUCUAAAUAAUAUCAUUGGCCUCAUUUUGCACUGCUUUUUUUGAAACAACCUCAGCAUACAACACGUCCUAAUCUGUCUAGGAGUUGGAGAGGGUGGCUCAUAUAUGUCCGGAAGAAAGAGAGGAGACAAAACAGAGAGAGAGAGAAGAGAACAGGGAAUAAGGAAAAGAAGCAGAAGAGAGAGGUGGAAAGUUGUUACUCAAAACAAAACAAAACAAGUGGAAGGUAUCAAGUGCUCAACAAACCAAGAGAGGCCAACACCUUAUGAAAUGAAUAUCUAAAAGCAUCAAAAGAGCAUUCUACCUGCAACUACUCUUUUGCUGGAGACCAAAACGCAAGACACACCUAAAGAAUAGUUUAUCCCUUCCUUGAGUCAAAAAAUGCCUUGAUUGUAUCUAAGCAGACCAUUCUACUUGGUGUGGAGGUAGUGCAGUAGCUGCUUAUGUCUUUCUACAACUGCAGCAAUUGGAUGUUCACUGAUACACAGAUUUGGAAGCUUAAGAUAUUGUGCUCCAAGGAACUUCAGAAUAACAAGCCAAACCGCUAAUUUUCAACAUCCAUCAAACAGUUCUCAUUAUUGUCUUUCAUCUAUUGCUCUAUUAGAUGAUACAUACCAAGUUUGAUUUGAAGUUAUUGAUUCCAGUGAGAAAUUUUUGUAACAUAUUUUAAUCAUUCUUUAAUCAAGGUGUGCAACAGAAACAUUCUGCUAUGUAAUGUUAUCCGAGUAACAUAUAACAGUAAUUCCCGCAGCAAAGCGCGGGCGAAUAUUACUAGUUCUAACUAUACUAAAACGCAAAUUAGAUGAGGACAAACAAAAUGAAUAGUUGAAGGACGUUUUUGCCCUUCACUUUUCUGCUGUUUUACUCAGUUGUCCCUCCCUUACACCUGUAGUGCUGCUCAGAAAUGCUUGGCUCAAUUAACGACAGAUAGAGAGUGAGAGAGGAUGGAGUGAGUGAAUCACAGUUCAACCAAGUCUUGAAUGUAGAACUGGAUCAGAUUAUUGAGGCCUGCAAGUUUCUUGACGAGAGCUGGUGUCCAAAGUCCAUGGUUAUUAUUGCACAAAAGAAUCA